rnacentral:lncRNA from 1 species
GCCCCAGUCCCGCCUUUCCCACCCCCAUUUUUGGGGAACUCUCACCCCCUUUUUGGGGCUGUUUUAUCCUCAUUUUCCAAACUGUUCCAUCCCCAUUCCCAUCCCCAUUCCUGCUUCCCCCACCCCCAUUUUUGGGGAAUUCCCACCCCCAUUUUGGGGAUGUUUAAUCCUCAUUUUUGGGGUUUUCCAAUCCCCACUUCAGCCCUUCCCCACCCCCAUUUUUGGGGGAACUCCCACCCCCUUUUUGGGAAUGUUUAAUCCUCAUUUUCCAAACUGUCCCAUCCCCAUUCCCAUCCCCAUUCCCGCUUUCCCCAGCCCCAUUUUUGGGGAACCCCCAUCCUCAUUUUUGGGGCUGGCCCAUCCCCAUU